rnacentral:rRNA from 1 species
AGUGAACGCUGGCGGUAGGCCUAACACAUGCAAGUCGAACGGCAGCACAGUAAGAGCUUGCUCUUACGGGUGGCGAGUGGCGGACGGGUGAGGAAUACAUCGGAAUCUACUUUUUCGUGGGGGAUAACGUAGGGAAACUUACGCUAAUACCGCAUACGACCUACGGGUGAAAGCAGGGGAUCUUCGGACCUUGCGCGAAUGAAUGAGCCGAUGUCGGAUUAGCUAGUUGGCGGGGUAAAGGCCCACCAAGGCGACGAUCCGUAGCUGGUCUGAGAGGAUGAUCCGCCACACUGGAGCUGAGACACGGUCCAGGCUCCUACGGGAGGCAGCAGUGGGGAAGAUUGGACAAUGGGCGCAAGCCUGCUCCAGCCAUACCGCGUGGGUGAAGAAGGCCUUCGGGUUGUAAAGCCCUUUUGUUGGGAAAGAAAAGCAGCAGGUUAAUACCCCGCUGUUCUGACGGUACCCAAAGAAUAAGCACCGGCUAACUUCGU